rnacentral:lncRNA from 1 species
GACCAUCGUGUUUAUUUUCUGCUCAGUCAGUUCAAGAGCAACAUCUCCUUCUUGUAAGGCCGUGCUUUUCUCUAUUGUCAUAAAUGCACUAAAUACAAAGAAAGCAUAUACAUAUCAGUAGUGAAGAAUUGUAAAGAUGGAGAGUAAUCAUGGAGAUGGAGUGUGGAGAGUUGAUGUAAAUCUCAGAUUCAAAGCAUCCAUAAAGACUACGCUGAAAUAGAUCUCUUCUGUGUGCCAAAUUUUCCGACUGCAGAGGAAGAAUUAACAAUGGCCAAGGCCAAGGGGAACAGGCAGAAAGAAGAGUGUGGCCUCAAAUGAUUUACAAGCAUUAAUCAGGAAACAUAUGGCUGUCUUGCCAAACUUGCUGGACAUUUACAAGGUUCAUAGCAUAGCUCACAGC